AAUUAGAUAACAAAUAAAUGUAUUUGAUUUAGAAUCAAAAAAAUAAAAUUUUUUAAAAUUUUUCUAAUUA
rnacentral:tRNA from 1 species